rnacentral:rRNA from 1 species
GAGGAACGCUGGCGGCGUGCCUAAUACAUGCAAGUCGAGCGAACGGACGAGAAGCUUGCUUCUCUGAUGUUAGCGGCGGACGGGUGAGUAACACGUGGAUAACCUACCUAUAAGACUGGGAUAACUUCGGGAAACCGGAGCUAAUACCGGAUAAUAUUUUGAACCGCAUGGUUCAAAAGUGAAAGACGGUCUUGCUGUCACUUAUAGAUGGAUCCGCGCUGCAUUAGCUAGUUGGUAAGGUAACGGCUUACCAAGGCAACGAUGCAUAGCCGACCUGAGAGGGUGAUCGGCCACACUGGAACUGAGACACGGUCCAGACUCCUACGGGAGGCAGCAGUAGGGAAUCUUCCGCAAUGGGCGAAAGCCUGACGGAGCAACGCCGCGUGAGUGAUGAAGGUCUUCGGAUCGUAAAACUCUGUUAUUAGGGAAGAACAUAUGUGUAAGUAACUGUGCACAUCUUGACGGUACCUAAUCAGAAAGCCACGGCUAACUACGUG